CAAUAGCGUAUAUUAAAGUUGUUGCGGUUAAAAAGCUCGUAGUUGGAUUUCUGCCGAGGACGACCGGUCCGCCCUCCGGGUGAGUAUCUGGCUCGGCCUGGGCAUCUUCUUGGAGAACGUAGCUGCACUUGGCUGUGUGGUGCGGUAUUCAGGACUUUUACUUUGAGGAAAUUAGAGUGUUUCAAGCAGGCAUACGCCUUGAAUACAUUAGCAUGGAAUAAUAAGAUAGGACCUCGGUUCUAUUUUGUUGGUUUCUAGAUCUGAGGUAAUGAUUAAUAGGGAUAGUUGGGGGCAUUCGUAUUUAACUGUCAGGGGUGAAAUUCUUGGAUUUGUUAAAGACGGACUACUGCGAAAGCAUUUGCCAAGGAUGUUUUCAUUGA
rnacentral:rRNA from 1 species